GAUCCUGGCUCAGGAUGAACGCUAGCUACAGGCUUAACACAUGCAAGUCGAGGGGCAGCAUGAACAAAGCUUGCUUUGUUUGAUGGCGACCGGCGCACGGGUGAGUAACGCGUAUCCGACCUGCCCAUGACUCGGGCACAGCCGCUCGAAAGAGCGAUUGAUUCCCGAUAUGUCUUUGGAGUAUAUUCUUAGAUGAAAGAUUUAUCGGUUAUGGAUGGGGAUGCGUAAGAUUAGGUAGUAGGCGGGGUAACGGCCCACCUAGCCGACGAUCUUUAGGGGUUCUGAGAGGAAGGUCCCCCACACUGGUACUGAGACACGGACCAGACUCCUACGGGAGGCAGCAGUGAGGAAUAUUGGUCAAUGGUCGAGAGACUGAACCAGCCAAGUCGCGUGAGGGAAGACUGCCCUAUGGGUUGUAAACCUCUUUAGUCGGGGAGCAAAAAAGCGGACGUGUCCGCCAUUGAGCGUACCCGAAGAAUAAGCAUCGGCUAACUCCGUG
rnacentral:rRNA from 1 species